AAAAUUCUAUUUUUUUUUAAUAUAUAAAAAGAUCAUAAUUCAUAUAAUGCACAUUUAGUAACUACAUUUUUACACUCACUAAUAUGUCAAACUUACCAUUAUCAAACAAAACAUUUGAGUAACAAUCAUUUUUAACAUCUUAUAUAGCUAGAAAACCAAUAUAUAAAGAAAAAUGAAGAAAAAUAAAAUAAAAUCAAAACCUGAACAAAAAUUAUAGGUGAUGGAACACUAAAAGUAUGAAGAAAAUUUUAGGCCUAAAAUGCAGGAGCUUGUCGUCAAAGCAGAAUGGAGGGUUUUGAACACAUCAUCCGCACAUGGUCGAGCAGUAGGGUCUGUAGCUGUGCAAUGGAGAGCUAAAUUCAUGGUUUCAACCAUCUCAUUCUGAUUAAUUGAUGCGUCUGCUUUGAUCAUUGGAUCAAUCCACAUGUCUAGAUGGCAAUCGGAGUAGCAAUACCGAGCCCACUCUACAAUGCUCUCGUGGAAGCCAAACUCAGCAUCGGCCGGGCUUUUUCCUGUUAAUAUCUCUAUCAGAAUCAAACCGAAUCCAUAUAUGUCACCUUUCUCGCUUGUAUCCUUUGAGUGUCUAGUUUCUGAGAAGAGGAGAAGAACAUUAUUGCAUAAACUAUGUAUUAAUUUUUCUUUUAUUCAAUAGAGACACAAUAGAUAAAAUAAUAGCUAUUGAGCUAUGAUAACUAGGAAGACUCGAAUUUUAACCUGUUAUCCUUCCUCCUCUUUGAACAUGAACAAAGACCAAUUAAGCUACUGUUUAAUAAUUAUUUAUCAAUUUAUUAAAAUAUUAUGCAAUAAGUGAUAAUCCAUAUGUGCAAACAAAUCCAAUAGGAAAUCUUUGCCAGCAAGAACAGCCGCACCCAUACCAUUAUAUUAACAGACCUAUAUGUCCCAAUAUUCCCAACAAUAAUAAAUAAUCAAAUCUUAAGAAGGUGAUGGGGCAUUUUAGGUUAAAAAAUUAUAAACAAAUAAAUAUGCAUUUCUUCACACUCUAAUAAUUUAAGGUUGACCCAUGAUUGUUUUCAUACGUGACAAAUCUUUUUAGCACUCCACAUACCAUAGACUAUACGACAUGUACAUGCUUUUUAAUUUAUGUGUAUAAUCACUUUUUAAUAAAGCAUAAUUAUGUCAACCAAAAAUUAAUUUCAUAAUAAUAUUUUAAAAAAUAGAAAUUAGACUAUGAAAUUCAAAGGGUAAAUUUGGAAUGUACCAGGGGCAACGUAGGCCGAAGAAAUGAAGCACUUGGUGUCGAUGCAACGCAGGUCAGGAAGGCUCAGUCUCAAGCGAGGCUCAUCUUUUCCGUCCACCAUAAUUUUCUGCGGAGACAUGUAGCCAACUAGAACAGUUGGUGAACAAUAACAGUGCAAGAACCGAAGAGCUUUCGCGAUCCCAAUGGCGAUUUUCAGCCGUCGUUCCCAACUCAAACUCCGAAGAAUUUCGCUUAAGUUUUUGCCUUCUACGUACUCAUAGACCAAAUACGCACCCCUAUCGGAACGACAAACGCCAAUUAACUUGACAAUAUUUGGAUGCUGAAGUUUACCAAAUUCAGCGAUCUCAGGCCAAAAAUUUGACUGAAUUGACUUCACAUCAUUUAUUUCCUUUACCAUGAAUUUCAUGUCGUUUAUGAUGCACUUCCCCUUGUAUGAAAACCCUUUCUUUCCCCUAUGAAUGACUUUUUCUUCUUUCUUGGACGAUAAAAUAUCUUCGAUUGUUACAGAUUUUGAUACCUUGGGAUGGAAGAAUUGCAAUUCCCAUAUCCCAUCUUCAUUUUCCACUCUUUUCAGCUCUAAAUUCUUUCGUCCUCGAAUCAACACUAUUCCAAAACAAGCAAGAGCAAGAACCACAGAAGCACCAAGAAUACAAGCAACAUAAAACCACCACAUAGGAUUCUUUACCCUUCUGCAUGGAGGCAAACCACUGGAAGUAUCGCCGCCGCAAAGUUCAUUAUCAGCAACUGCGCUUGCAUUUAUGGCAAGAAAAGCUCCUGUGGAUGGUAAACUACCAUGUAAAUUAUUGUGAGAGAUGUUCACUAGAACAAGCGAUUCCACUCUUCCCAAAUUUAUUGGUAUUUCCCCAGAUAAUUGAUUCUGCGAUAGAUCAAGUUGGCCAAGAACUGCCAUAUCAGAAAAACUAGCUGGGAUUUGGCCACUGAGCUGAUUUUUGCUGAGGUCUAGACUUACAAGCUUCUUGAGUGAAGAUAACUCAUCUGGGAUUUCACCAGAGAGCUGGUUUCCACUUAGCUUCAGUUGCACUAGCUCCGAUAAACUGCCAAAAGUCCUAGGAAUAGUUCCUGAAAAUCUGUUUUGGGACAAGUCCAAGUUCUCAAGGUGGUCACUGCCAAAUGAAUUAGGCAAGGCCCCGUAAAAUCUGUUUCUUGCCAAACUCAACAUUUGAAGCGAAGUCAUUUCCCAUUUUCUUGCAUCAAUCCUGCCUGAAAAGUUGUUGCCUGAGAUAUCCAAGAAAUACACAAGUUGCAGUUUGGUGAAUUCUGUUGAUAAUUCACCAGAUAAAUUAUUGUCUUGGAGACGUACUCGCUGCAAGCUUUUGCAGGUGCUCAAACUCUUGGGGAUUUCACCAUCAAGUGAAUUUGAGAAUAGAAUGAGCUUAAAGAGAUUGCCUGAGCUGCAUAGGCCUUCAGGAAUUUUUCCAGUGAGAGAAUUUGUGGAAAGGUCUAUUACAGUGAGAUUGUUUUGCUUUCCAAGAUCUUUUGGAAUCUCAUCAGAAAAAUUGUUAGACCAAAGCUGAAGGACUUGAAGACGAGGCAAAGAACUUAAAGCACUUGGGAUUUUCCCACUAAAGUUGUUGGAAAAAAGAUGAAGAAUCUCCAAGUUUUGCAGCUGAACAAUGAGUUCUGGGAUCUCACCGGAGAGAAAAUUAUCGCUAAGAUCAAGUGAAAUCAACUUUCUGAGGCCAAAAAUAGAUUUUGGGAUAGAACCUGUAAGCUUGUUCUGGUAGAGGAAGAGGUAGUGAAGAUUUGUGAGGUUCCCUAGAAAGGAUGGAAUUGAUCCAGUAAGAUUGUUGUAGACAAGAUCAAGAUGAUUCAAAGAAGUUAAUUCCCCUAUUUCUUUCGGAAUUUCGCCUGAAAGAUUGUUGUAGCCCAAGUAAAUCCACUUCAAGCUCCUCAUUUGGCCCAAUUCUCGUGGAAUUUGGCCAACUAAUUGAUUUGAAGCCAGAGUCAAGAAUUCCAAACUUGUGAUGUUUGUUAUAGAGAUUGGAAUUGUGCCUACCAGAACAUUUCCACCAAAAUCAAGAAACUUCAGGCUUGAAAAGGAUCCGAUUUCCUGAGGAAUCUUCCCUGCAAGCAUAUUGUUAGAUAGAUCCAGUGUCUCCAGGUAGGCAAUUGAGCCCCUUGGUAUAGAACCAGUGAAAUUAUUGUUACUAAGAUUGAGGUAUCGAAGCGAGGUGCAAGAGAAAAUUUCAGGAGGAACUUGCCCAGAGAGCUGAUUGCUUGAGAGAUUUAUAGUUUCAAUAUAUGGCAACUGAAAGACUGACAAAGAAAGCUUGCCAGAGAUGUUUUUCCCUGGGAGAUCAAUGGCCUUAAUGCGAGAAGAGUUGCUGCAAGUGAUGCCUUGCCACUUGCAAAAAGUAACAGAGGGAUUCCAGUUGGAAAGAUAUUGCAAAGGGUCAUUGAUGGAAGAUUUGAAGGACAAGAGAAGCUCAAGUUCCUCUGCAUGUAAUACACCAAAAUUCAAGAACAAGAACAUGAACAUGAACUUGAAUAACACAGAACAUGCUUGAGGUCCUUUCUUGGCCAUCUCAGCUGGUUGAUAAUUCUAUAACAUCCACUGGUGACUGCAGUUGAAAUCAAAGACACGAAGUGGAGUGG
rnacentral:misc_RNA from 1 species